GAUGAAGUGGCUGAAGAUAGGCGAUAGAUUGUAAAUUUAUUAAUGAGUAUAAACUCCUUUGUUA
rnacentral:tRNA from 1 species